UCCUUGGUGGGUCCAGUGGUUAAGACCCUGCACUUCCAAUGCAGUGGGCAUGGGUUCAAUCCCUAGUCAGGGAA